GAUAUGAGUAAAAGUGACUUCAACAACCAGAAUGUGUUUUUGAUAAAUAUUAAUAAUAACAGUAACUAAAGGAAUGUUAUCAAUUUAUUAUAUGAAUCAUAAGCAUGUGCUUAUCUAUUACAAGUACCUUUGAUGGUGAAAGUUACAUUUUUUAUCUGAAAAGAGUUGGGAGAAAUUUUCAUAUUGAAACGAGAUAUUGUGUAAAGAGGUUUUCAAAGAAGUCGUUUUAACAAUAAUGGAAAAGCUUCCGAUUCCCGAGAUAAACGUGAAAGCAUUUGAUGCAUGAUUAAAGAAUCGUUCAAAAGUUUGCUUAAUUUUGACAGUGUAUUUUUAAUUACUAUUUUUUUUGAAAUAAACCAAUCAACUUAUAUAUAAA